UUUGCGUCGGCGUGAAAUUGCCGUCGCUAAAACCUAAUCUUUCGCGACGGCAAAACUUGACCGUCGCAAUUGUGUAAAAGUUAUGCCACCGUAUUAAUUGCCGUCGCCACUUGUGGUCGCUAGCAACUAUGGUUUACGUCGGCAAGAAUUUGCCGUCGCAAGAUAAUAGCAUUUAACGACUGCAAAAACUUGCCGUCGCAUUAAAAGAGAAUAUGUGAACGAUUUUAUCCUAAUUCUCCCCCUCUUUAGUCUUUCUGUUGUUUGACCCCAUAACUCUAUCUCGAUUCGACACCCCGAUGAAUACCCAGAUCUCCUCCUCUCUCCAUCACCUCCUUGAGCUAUUGUCCUCUCUAGAUCUGCCAAAUUCACAGCAGAAUACAACCGCCGACUAAAUGCGCUGAUUUAGGUCAACUCCGUCGAGUUUAUUGGGAGAUCUACCAACCAAUUGCUCCUCUCAAUGUCCAAAACCUAAUCUAAUACAUUCACCUCCCCACCUGCAGCCCCAAAACGGCUGCAACGAUCCCGAUUUCACCUAUCUCUUCAAGCUCAAAAUAGAUAUCGCUGCUCUUCAUCAACUGGAUUUUACUAUUUAUACCUCCUGAUUUGUUUGGGUCACUAUGAAGAUCGACGCGGUGACGACGGAUCAAAGGGGCGGGAAGGCUGGAAUCGCUGACCGGACCGGGCUGGAAUUUUUGUUAUCCGCCCUCUGCUGGGACUUUGAUUCCCAGAGUUUUGAGCGAUAGCCGAUUCAUCUUUUCUAUGGGUUUGGUUGAUUCGGAGGCGAAUUUGUGGGAUGUUAUUGGGUCUGGAGAGCUAAGGUUCGAAGAAUUCUGGUUCCUAAUGGAUUCUGAAGCAGAAGCUCUCGAGGAGAAGUUAAUGUCGCUGCUUGGUCAGCUUUGAGCUGAGUGUGCCAUUCUCGAAAGAGUGGUCUACAAGAACAAGAACCAGCACAGACAUUCCUCUUACUUCCAGUGCCUAAAGAUGUCCAUCUUAUGGGGUAUCUUCAGAUUGUGAGCACCUGCAGAAGACGUAAGGGAAGAAAUUUAAGCAUAUAUACUUGAAAAGAGAGGCAACCGAUUCUGGAAGGAUACCUCAGGGAUGCCGUUGAAGACCACCUUGUCAUCUCUACCUCCUGCUCUCAUCUUCACACUGCUGUUGAUCUUUUUAAUGAGACUAAGCUGGACAAUGAAAUCAAAUCGUGCCUUGCCUUUGCUGCCAAAGGCAUCGGCUGGUCACAAGGAUGAGGUAUCUCUAUAUGCAUCAGAUUCAUGUCCAGGUUUAAAGCAUCCAUUCUGUAUCACAGCAUCUUCAAGUUCUUGGGAGGUCCCGGCAAGGCUUAUCUUGAAGUAUAGGAAAAAAAAAAACUACCUUGUAUUAUCUUGUAAACUCAUGUAUAAGAGCUUCAUUUCCUUUGUGACAUUCAUGAGAAAAAUUAACAUGCAACAUUCCCUUUUCAAUAUGCUUAA